UCUCUGCAGCCUCCCUCUGAAUUUCUCAGUGCACCAACAUUAGCAUUUAUGGCAAGGAAGAUUUAUUUUCUUUGCUGGUUAAGAGUAGUAAAUUCAGAAUGCCUUUACAAGCUGCUAGACGGAGAGCCCUGGAGAUCCGAAAUCCUGUAGGCUCAGACAAGUCUUCGUGGCUGGACCACAGGUAAUUGGACUUGGACCUCUUCUCCCAAGAGCCAGGAGUGAUGAACUGACUAAAGCGUGCGGGAGCUAUUUCAGCUCGGUGAAGAGCAGCUCUGUGCUUGUCUCCAGAUGACCAAAUAUAAAACUCGACGUUGCCUUAUGGCUACAUGGAACGAUGGAGCUGGUGAGCAGUCCUCCCUCCACAGAACCCGGUACUCCCUUGUACCCUCUCCUGCUGCCUUUGCCAUUGCAGCCUGCGCAUCCCACCACAGCCACCAGCACCUGUAGCCUGCUGCUUCUCACCAGACCCACAUCAGCCAAAACAUGUGAAAGAGGACAAUCUUAAAAGUCAGCAGACAACAUGUAGGCAUGUGCAGCCCUGAGAGAAAUCAGGUGGCCUGCAAAGGGCAGGUGAUGGAUCUAAACCUGGCUCUGGGUUCCCAGCUCCUGACUGCUCACGCAGCA